GUCUACGGCCAUACCACCCUGAACGCGCCCGAUCUCGUCUGAUCUCGGAAGCUAAGCAGGGUCGGGCCGGUUAGUACUUGGAUGGGGAGCCUGGGAAUACCGGGUGCUGUAGGCU
rnacentral:rRNA from 1 species